CAACCCUUGAUGGGCUCCGCUGCCGGACUGAAGGUGUGGAUCAGAUUUAACAAGAAUGAAGGAUGUCUGCGCAGUUCAUGGAGUGCCUGAUGGAAGGACGGGAUUCUAAAAACAGUUGCGGUUCAGCCCCUAGAGGCCUGUCCACCCUUCAAAUGGUGGGAGAGGAGGGUGAGGAGGUUGAUCCAGCGGAGCGUCAUUUUGUUAGGAAGCAGCAGCAGCACAGAAGAUGGUGUAAGGAGUGCAGGCCUCAAACAUACCACAAGAGCCAACCCAGGACCUUACCUGCUCUGCCUGGAAACAGGCCUCAUCCCAGGCCGCCUUAUCUGUUAUUUAUGGAUAGCUGCACCACAAAGGGCACGAAGUAGAAAAUGGCCGACAGUGGGGUAACUCGC